rnacentral:rRNA from 1 species
AUGUUGCGUGAGAGGGCUGGUCUUUGUGACAAUGUCUAUGUUUCCGUGGAAGAAAAGGUGGCAAUGUUCUUGUUGGUAGUUGGCCAUGGUAUCAAAAUGAGGAUUCUGGGUGGCACUUACAGGCGCUCCUUAUGGACUAUUAGUACACACUUUGACGAUGUAUUAACAGCGAUUCUAUCUCUAACCGGGGAGUUUAUUAAGCUUCCCGAUCCUUCUACUCAGCCACCUGAUGAUUACAAAUGGAAGUGGUUUGGUAAUGCACUUGGAGCGCUCGAUGGGUGUCAUGUUGAUGUUUGUGUGCCUGUGUGUGACCAAGGGAGAUAUAGGAACAGGAAGCAAGCUAUCACCACUAACAUGCUUGGUUGGUUCAUUGGAAUAUGA